rnacentral:tRNA from 1 species
ACCAGGAUGGCCGAGUGGUCAAGGCGUUGGACUUAAGAUCCAAUGGAUGUUUAUUUGCGUGGGUGCAAACCCCACUCCUGGUA